rnacentral:rRNA from 1 species
UACGGAGGAUCCAAGCGUUAUCCGGAUUUAUUGGGUUUAAAGGGUGCGUAGGCGGCCUGUUAAGUCAGAGGUGAAAGACGGUAGCUCAACUAUCGCAGUGCCUUUGAUACUGAUGGGCUUGAAUGAACUAGAGGUAGGCGGAAUGAGACAAGUAGCGGUGAAAUGCAUAGAUAUGUCUCAGAACACCGAUUGCGAAGGCAGCUUACUAUGGUUUUAUUGACGCUGAGGCACGAAAGCGUGGGAUCAAACAGG